AUACUUACCUGGCAGGGGAGAUACCAUGAUCACGAAGGUGGUUUUCGCAGGGUGAGGCUCAUCCAUUGCACUGCGGGUGUGCUGACCCCUGCGAUUUCCCCAAAUGCGGGAAACUCGACUGCAUCUUUUGUGGUAGUGGGGGACUGCGUUCGCGCUCUCCCCUG
rnacentral:snRNA from 1 species